AAAAGAUAAUAUAUUUUGUUAAUAUUCAAUUUCCCUUGUCAGUAUGCAGGGCACGAAAUGGGAACUGUUAUUACAUCCAGUACGUGCUGGGCUAUUCAUAGUCCAUUAUGCAGGGGGUUUUAGCCGGUUUUAACACCCCCUCCACUUUUCAGUGUUCAAACCAGUUGGUAAAUUAGUCAAUUGAUAGAAUGCUCUCGGUAAACUCUGAACUAUGGUCGGUAAAUUUGUUAAGUUACAUGAAUAUUGAAUAUACAGUAGUGAUAUCGACCAGCUCCAUGACUGACUUUGAGGAAUCUUUUCACAACGUCAUAUGCAGUCGGACAAUUGAUUGCAACUAUAGUGUACAGGUACAUAAAAUCAGGAAUCUAUUCUAUGACGUUUCAUCAUCAUAUUGGCAGAAGUAUGUUUGAUAGAUCAGUCGUGAAUUAUUUUUCUUUUUCUGCAAGGGCUUGUCGUUUUGAAAACGUUGAUCAGGAGGAUGCUUAUGUAAUUCGUCCAUUUCCUUCAAUGUGGAAAUGUGGUGUAGUGGUUCCAGAUGGUUUUGAUCCAAUGGCUUUCGACACAAAGCGUUUGCAAAGCCUGUGUAGAUCUUUAGAUAUCCUAAUUCACAUGAAAGAAGGUAUAAAGGAAUUUGGACUUGAAUGUGGUAAGGA